rnacentral:rRNA from 1 species
CCUACGGGUGGCUGCAGUAGGGAAUCUUCCACAAUGGGCGAAAGCCUGAUGGAGCAACGCCGCGUGAGUGAAGAAGGUCUUCGGAUCGUAAAACCCUGUUUUUAGAGAAGAAAGUGCGUGAGAGUAACUGUUCUCGUUUCGACGGUAUCUAACCAGAAAGCCACGGCUAACUCCGUGCCAGCAGCCGCGGUAAUACGUAGGGUGCUAGUCUUAUCCGGAUUUAUUGGGCGUAAAGGGAACGCAGGCGGUCUUUUAAGUCUGAUGUGAAAGCCUUCGGCUUAACCGGAGAAGUGCAUUGGAUACUGGGAGACUUGAGUACAGAAGAGGGGAGUGGAAUUCCAUGUGUAGCGGUGAAAUGCGUAGAUAUAUGGAAGAACACCAGUGGCGAAAGCGGCUCUCUGGUCUGUAACUGACGCUGAGGUUCGAAAGCGUGGGUAGCAAACAGGAUUAGAUACCCUUGUAGUC